rnacentral:ncRNA from 18 species
ACGACAAUUGGAUGCUGAGAAGAAAUGGGUACUAUCUGGGCACUUAACCAUUUUGGAGCUGCUAGUGCAACCGGCCGGAGACAU